AUGUCUGGCCGUACAUUGUGUUUGUAUUUCCAGGCACAUUUCACGAAGCAGAACGCAGUCUUCAGAGAUAUCCACGUGAACGCUGUGAUACGUCUGACCUUCAGUCCGAAAAAGAAAACCCAGACCAGUCUUAAAAGAAAGCACAAACCAAAUCCCCUGUACACAUAUACGGACUCAGAGGAUGAGCAGCCUACAAAAAAACGGUUUCCCCAGGCCCCUCGAGUGAAAAUACCAGGUAAUAAAAUACUGUCUAGUGUCUGUGUACAUAUCUGUGUCUGACACAAGGAAACUUUUUUGACAAGUUGUCUGUAUUCUUAAAUACUUAAAAAAUUAUCUUUUUCUAAACAGCCCUCAUCACUCCAGUCUGCCCCCCAGCCCACUGAUAGCAACCAUCAUAAUGCCACACCCAGCUUCCGGCACCUUUCGCCACUCCGGCACAAGCCGACACAGCUUUGCAAUCUCGCCAGCAUGCAGUCUGAUGUCUUCCCUAUAGAUGGUAUGCUUUUAAAAAAGUUUUAAAGCUGCAUCACAAUGUCAUUGUACUCUUAUCUAAAAAAAAAAAACAACCCAAUUUAUACUCCUGAAUGUCAUCUUGUUGUGAUUUUUUUUUUUUCUGUAGAUUCCAGAGACUCUGUGAGGCCACUAUUACAAGGCAAGUUUGAAAAUCUUGGAAUUUCACAGUUUACAUGGUAUAACAAAUAUAUGUGACAGGCAAAAACUAGUAAACACUUUUAGCAGUUAGAAGAACUAACAAAUGAAUAUCCAACAAAAGGGAAUAGAAAUACAUUGUACUGCCAAUACUUUGGUUUAUUCUUUGUAUGACUUGAAAAUCAGGCUUUAGGGAAAACUAAAUGACAUGUUUCUAUCAUCAAUUACAUGAAGUAAACACACAAGCACUUGCAUACACAUUUAAGACAUGAGACACGCUAAUUCCAUCUCAUAAAAUGUGUCUAUAGGUGAGACGCUUUGCGUUGAUUGGUGCUGCUGGACCACACUGGAGGUGCAAGUCCGCCGUGUAAUGGUUUAUGCCAUUACAAAGGAGCUGGCCUCUGUACUCAACUGGGCAGGGGAAAAAACCAAGGACCAGACAAAGCAAAAAAGGGCAUUUAAAGAGACAGCGCUGUGCAGAUGCAUAUUUGGUAAGUUUUAACAUUUAUUGUAGUUUUAUGAGCCUAAAGUGAACAAUAAAGGGAUCAAUUGAUGUGCUGGGUGCGUUUCACAUUUCCUAUGUCUGUUUUUUGCUAUAUUACUUUGUCUUUCUUAAUAACAAGACUUUCAUGUCCGGUUAAUCUGGAGAUGGAGUCUUUGGUCUUCGGCUUGUUUUGUCCUCGGGUUGUACACUUUGUACAGCCCGAGGACCCCAUGUUUUCUUUUUUUUUUUUUUUUUUUAAAGGAUACACGGCACACCAUGCUAAGACAUAUCACAUUUUCAGCUUAUAGCUCUUUGGGAAUCAAAUGCAGCAGUUUGCUGAUUUCCGCCUGGUGACUUUCAUGUUUAUCAGCCUAGGAGUUUACAUACUUUCUCCCUGCUGAAGACAAUUAACAAGAGCUUAUUCGUGUGCUCUAAUUCCCUUUUUUUGUCUUUGUUUUUUUGUGUGUGUGUCUAUUUUUGUCCUAGAUGGCCUGGCGCAGUAGGUAGGGGCGAACUCUAUGUCUGAGUUGGUCUUUGCUCAAGCAGUCCAGAAAUGGCUCAGAUAUGCUCCAGAUCGUACGGGUGGCGCGCAGGACGCACAUCAUCCAUCCCCAUCCCGGAGUAAAUAAUAAAAAGUGACGUGAAACAUAGAAAUGUAAAUAGGAAACUUUGUCUUUUAAUAAAGUAUUUUGCAAAUGAUACAUGUCUAUUGACCUUUUUUGUUUUUUUGUUUUUUUUCAAUAAAAAGCAACUGUACGAAAGAGGUGGAAAAUCAAUACCAUAGCUCAACAGUGUUUCAAUAUCAGAAUCUGACAUUGUUUCAAUGUCAACAGUGUUAGAAAAUAUAACGUAGAAUCAAUGUCAGGUUUCAACAUUGAUUCAACAUCAAAACCUGACGUUGUUUCAACGUUAAAAAUGGGUGCAAGAGUGAUGUUGGGUCAACGUCACACUUCAACGUUGCUUCAAUGACGUCGCCUGAUAUUGACUCAACAUUGUUUCAAUGUUUCCUUGCUAUCUGGGUGGUUAAAGUGUCAGUCACAGUUUUCCGUGUCUGCUCAGUGGAUGUUUGGGAGUUUAAUUCAUGAACAGAUACAUUUUCAGCUGGUGCUGAAACACUUGUUUGGGGUAUUCUGUAUUCGGUGGUUUCAUUAGCAUCUCUUUGAUCAGCAACAUUUGCACUCUGAAACUCAAUGGGCUGAAGCUCAUAAGUGCAGGUUGGUGUGAUGCUAAACAUUCGGUACAAGCAUUUGAUCCUGUCAAUCAUGUCGUUAAGACGUGUGAAUUUUAACAUAACUGCAGUUCCACCACUUACAGCUAGCGACAAUGGCAUUCCUGUAGACUUACGUGGGUGAGGGUCAAAAUAUGCGUAUUCACCUGAAGUCAGCCUGCAAACUGCGAUGACUGUACUUGCCAUGACUAGCAAAGCAUAGCGAACGUCUGAAACCAAACACUGUAGUCCCUGUUCAAGGCUCAGAAGGUGAUCUGUACUAUCAAAUGUGCCGUAACGACCACACUGAGACAUGUCCACUUGAUACUCAUGUGUGCGGCUGGUGAC
ensembl:lncRNA